GGACUACCACUCACGUUUCCCAGAGCCGUACCAGGCUCUGUAUAGCAGGCUCAGGGGUGCCAAUACUGGCUAACGAUCUCAAUUUCCAGAAAACUACUAAUUUUACCUCAUACUCCACUAAUAGAAAUUUUAAGAUUCACCAAAUUCUCACGUGUCAGUCUACAAAGGUCAUAUACCUCCUCUGGUGCCCCUGUGGUCUCCAAUAUAUUGCUAUGACAACUAGGGAAUUCAAAGCUAGGAUUGUGGAACAUAUUGGAAAUAUCCAGAGGGGAUAUAUGAAACACUAUUUCUGCACAUUUUGUUGAGAAGCUCAGGGGUGAUUCAACAUUGUUGUCAUAUAUGGUUAUUUUUAAAAGACACAAAAAUUGGAGAGGGGAAGAUAAUACAAAAGAGCUGGCUAAGAGAUGCCCAUCUCCCAAUGGAUUGAAUCGUGACUUUGAAUUUGUUCAUUUUUUAUAACGAGUAUGUUUUGAUGGAAAUAUUAGUUUUUUUUUCAAAUUAUUGCCUCUCUCCCCCUUUAUACCAGCUCUUUGGAUUCCUAGGUAUAUGCAUGUAAUGACAUAGUCUUUGAUUUGUUUAUUUUACAUUUGUAUAUCUAAUUUUAUAUUGACAGACAUAGCUACAAUGGGUUUACGUCUUAAUAUUGAGAAAUUCCUCUUUUGUAUAAUAUGUUUGUAGCGAAUGGCACUGGGCUGUCCUGGGACUUGUGUUAGUUUAUACUGUAUUCGUCUAAUUGCAAAGUAUAUGUGUAUUAAUGUGAUGUAUUCGUCUGAUUGUGCGGUAGAAUCAUUCUAACAAAUAAGGGAAUGAAACUACCGAACAGUCAGACCUCCCCGGUGUGAAGUGUGCCUUCAAUUACCCGUUGCAACAUUGUUGCGAACGGGUAAUUGACAAGCUGUAUAGUAAUCCUUUGUUCUCGGGGGUGGCCGCCAUUCGGGAAACGAACACGUGGCGGCGGCCAUUUUAAAACUCCCGAACAGCGGUGUUUUGCCGUCGAGUAUCUGGAACUCAAAACGGACACUCGACUAGGCGAACAUCGCUGAGACCUCCACCAGCCCGGUCCAUUCGGUUCCAAACUACCGAACAGCCCCUCGUUCGGUAGACAAACAACCGAACGAGGGGAUUCAGGCGAACCCUCCCCAGCUAGAGGCUUUCGUGUAAUUCAUUCCCUUUUUCCAAGACCGACCGCAGGGCCCCAUCGCAUGGACCCAAUUCGGCUAUUUCUUCCCGUACGGUCGGUCAUUCUAUUCCCUCCAUGAAUUUCCCGAGCCCCUGGUCUGAUCUGCGUGAAUUUUGGAUAUGUUGUUCACCCAGAUCAGAGCUACCGGGGGAUGUAUAAUUUAAAGUGGUACCCCUAGGUUUAGGGGUACAUCCAGAAACGGGGGGAAUUGGUGUCCUAGGUAAGGGGAUUAUGAUGCAGGCUGAGGGGAGGGGAUGUGUGGGAGGUUACCCGAACAGGAUUGGCUAUUAUGUUAAUGAUUAUUGGGAGUGCUGUUGGGAUACUACUGUAUUGUUUUACCUGCUGGAUACCUUGCCCAUGGAUUUAUAACUACUUAUUCCUGAGCCUCACUGGGAUCUACAAGUGGAGGUAGGCUAUGAAAUACUAGCUCUCCGCUACAAUGUUUAUAUCAUUAUCAUAUUUUUUUUAUUUUGCAGAUGAAUUUUCUGUUUUGUUUUUUUAAUUUCCCUAAUGAGAUUGUUUGGAUUUAACACUUUUUCUUAUUGUGAAUGGACUACUUCAGUCUCUCUGGCUCUGGAGAGACUGAGAUAUAAGCAGACUUAUCUGCUAUAUACGAACGGCCGGAUCUAUAUACAGGAGAUUGCGUUCCAGCGCAUAGAAAACAUAAGUGACGUCACUAGCGGAAACCGGAAGUGACAUGCCAGCAAUCAAAAGACUAUGUACAGAUGAGUGAGUAAGAGGGAGCACUUAAAAGGGCAGGAGGACUUGGAAAACAGCACUUAAAGAAGGCUGAUCGCCGUAACACGUCUGCUGACAUAGGUUUUAUCUCUGUUUAUUUCAUACUGACUUGUGGGUGACUUACCAUAGGGGUGAGUGGAUCUCUGGCUUUGUUACUAUAUUGUGUUUUAUGCUGGGUUCCACCCCCAUAGUCAUAAGUUUUUUUUUUAAACUUUUUU
rnacentral:lncRNA from 1 species